GACGAACGCUGGCGGCGUGCUUAACACAUGCAAGUCGAACGAAAAUACCAAGCUUGCUUGGUUGAUUAGUGGCGAACGGGUGAGUAACACGUGAGUAACCUGCCCCUUACUUUCUGGAUAACUGCUCGAAAGGGUAGCUAAUACGGGAUAUUCUGGCCUUCCUGCAUGGGUUGGUUUGGAGAGGUUUUUUUCUGGUGAGGGAUGGGCUCGCGGCCUAUCAGCUUGUUGGUGGGGUGAUGGCCUACCAAGGCUUUGACGGGUAGCCGGCCUGAGAGGGUGGACGGUCACACUGGGACCGAGAUACGGCCCAGACUCCUACGGGAGGCAGCAGUGGGGAAUAUUGCACAAUGGGCGCAAGCCUGAUGCAGCGACGCCGCGUGAGGGAUGAAGGCCUUCGGGUUGUAAACCUCUUUCGUCAGGGAACAAGGCACUGCUUUUGGUGGUGUUGAGGGUACCUGGAUAAGAAGCGCCGGCUAACUACGUGCCAGCAGCCGCGGUAAUACGUAGGGCGCAAGCGUUGUCCGGAAUUAUUGGGCGUAAAGAGCUCGUAGGCGGCUGGUCGCGUCUGUCGUGAAAACUUCCGGCUCAACCGGGGGCUUGCGGUGGGUACGGGCCGGCUAGAGUGCGGUAGGGGUAACUGGAACUCCUGGUGUAGCGGUGGAAUGCGCAGAUAUCAGGAAGAACACCGAUGGCGAAGGCAGGUUACUGGGCCGUUACUGACGCUGAGGAGCGAAAGCGUGGGGAGCGAACAGG
rnacentral:rRNA from 1 species